rnacentral:rRNA from 1 species
AUAAACGCUGGCGGCGUGCUUCAGGCAUGCAAGUCGAACGCCCCGAUUCGUCGGGGAGUGGCGGACGGGUGAGUAACACGUAAGUAACCUGCCCAGAAGUGGGGAAUAACCCGCCGAAAGGCGAGCUAUUACCGCAUGUGAUGUUCUUUCUCUGGAGAGAGCAUAAAAGGCUUAGGUCGCUUCUGGCGGGGCUUGCGGCUGAUUAGCUAGUUGGUGGGGUAACGGCCUACCAAGGCUACGAUCGGUAGCUGGUCUGAGAGGAUGGUCAGCCACACGGGGACUGAGAUACGGCCCCGACUCCUACGGGAGGCAGCAGCUAGGAAUCUUGGGAAUGGGCGAAAGCCUGACCCAGCAACGCCGCGUGGGCGAUGAAGGCCUUCGGGUUGUAAAGCCCUUUUGUGGGGGACGAUGAUGACGGUACCCCGCGAAUAAGCCACGGCUAACUACGU